rnacentral:lncRNA from 1 species
UAAUUAAGGAUUGACUGCAACAGUUAUCAAACAUUUUAGUCAUUCAUAUAAGGACACCCAACACUCCUAUAGUAAUGAAAACUCCUACUUAUGCUUUAACAAGUACUAUAAAUAAAUUAAAUUAAAUUAAAAUCAGCUUUAAAGCUCGAAGAAUCUCUCUCUCACUAUGGGAGCAUUCCAAAGCAAAUGAGGGCUGGCUGACUAGGGCUGAAAACAAU